rnacentral:rRNA from 1 species
GUGGGGUAGUGGCUUACCAAGGCUUUGACGGGUAGCCGGCCUGAGAGGGUGACCGGCCACAUUGGGACUGAGAUACGGCCCAGACUCCUACGGGAGGCAGCAGUGGGGAAUAUUGCACAAUGGGCGGAAGCCUGAUGCAGCAACGCCGCGUGCGGGAUGACGGCCUUCGGGUUGUAAACCGCUUUCGCCUGUGACGAAGCGUGAGUGACGGUAAUGGGUAAAGAAGCACCGGCUAACUACGUGCCAGCAGCCGCGGUGAUACGUAGGGUGCGAGCGUUGUCCGGAUUUAUUGGGCGUAAAGGGCUCGUAGGUGGCUGAUCGCGUCGGAAGUGUAAUCUUGGGGCUUAACCCUGAGCGUGCUUUCGAUACGGGUUGACUUGAGGAAGGUAGGGGAGAAUGGAAUUCCUGGUGGAGCGGUGGAAUGCGCAGAUAUCAGGAGGAACACCAGUGGCGAAGGCGGUUCUCUGGGCCUUUCCUGACGCUGAGGAGCGAAAGCGUGGGGAGCGAACAGGCUUAGAUACCCUGGUAGUCCACGCUGUAAACGGUGGGUACUAGGUGUGGGGUCCAUUCCACGGGUUCCGUGCCGUAGCUAACGCUUUAAG